GGAUGUGAGGGUGAUCUGGCUGAGACAUCUGUUACUCCACUGAUCGCCAGGGUUGAUUCAGCUGAUCUGGCUGGCUAGGCGGAUGUCCCUUCCUCUGACACCUCUCCUUGUGCGUCCCUCCCUAAGCUGCGCACUCGGUCGAAGAGGGUGACCAUCCCCCAUAGAGUUUGUUCUUCUCAGUCAGGAGUAUACCAGUAUCUGCGCUCCCCUGCUAGACCCUCCAAACAAGCUCUCAAAAAAUAAAGGCAAUUAAAUUAAGCUUGCAUCCCUGGACUUUUGUCAGACUGAUGGCUUUGCUAUUAAGU
rnacentral:snRNA from 1 species